rnacentral:rRNA from 1 species
UACGUAGGCAGCGAGCGUUGUUCGGAAUUACUGGGCGUAAAGAGUGUGUAGGCGGUGUUCCCAGUCUGUUGUGAAAUCUCCCGGCUUAACUGGGAGGGUGCAGCGGAAACUAGAAUGCUAGAGGGUGGGAGAGGUAAGCGGAAUUCCUGGUGUAGCGGUGAAAUGCGCAGAUAUCAGGAGGAACACCGGUGGCGAAGGCGGGUCUCUGGGCCGAUACUGACGCUGAGGAGCGAAAGCGUGGGGAGCGAACAGG